AGCACUAUAUUUAAGCCUAUGGAUGAGAAUUGUCCUCAUCAUUGGUUACGCUGUAGUGCAAGAGAAUUCCUGGCUCCAUCUGCUGCACAGCUGACUUGUGCAAUUCUGCUGUUGCUUGUGGAGUUAAGGAACAUUG
rnacentral:snoRNA from 13 species